rnacentral:rRNA from 1 species
CCGCCCGUCACAUCACGAAAGUGGAUUGUACUAGAAGUCCGUGAGCUGACCUUCGGGAGGCAGCGGCCCACGGUAUGAUCCAUGAUUGGGGUG